CCAGACUCAUACGGGAGGCAGCAGUAGGGAAUCUUCGGCAAUGGACGGAAGUCUGACCGAGCAACGCCGCGUGAGUGAAGAAGGUUUUCGGAUCGUAAAGCUCUGUUGUAAGAGAAGAACGAGUGUGAGAGUGGAAAGUUCACACUGUGACGGUAUCUUACCAGAAAGGGACGGCUAACUACGUGCCAGCAGCCGCGGUAAUACGUAGGUCCCGAGCGUUGUCCGGAUUUAUUGGGCGUAAAGCGAGCGCAGGCGGUUAGAUAAGUCUGAAGUUAAAGGCUGUGGCUUAACCAUAGUACGCUUUGGAAACUGUUUAACUUGAGUGCAAGAGGGGAGAGUGGAAUUCCAUGUGUAGCGGUGAAAUGCGUAGAUAUAUGGAGGAACACCGGUGGCGAAAGCGGCUCUCUGGCUUGUAACUGACGCUGAGGCUCGAAAGCGUGGGGAGCAAACAGGAUUAGAUACCCUGGUAGUCCACGCCGUAAACGAUGAGUGCUAGGUGUUAGACCCUUUCCGGGGUUUAGUGCCGUAGCUAACGCAUUAAGCACUCCGCCUGGGGAGUACGACCGCAAGGUUGAAACUCAAAGGAAUUGACGGGGGCCCGCACAAG
rnacentral:rRNA from 1 species